GGCGGUGUGGUGAGUGGAGCCGCAGCUCUUGAACAUUUUUAAAGCUAUUGGAGUGUGUGGGUUGUGUGGUAGCCCCAUUUUGAGUAAGAAUGUUUGAUAGUGACUGCGAGAAGUGCAGGAAGGAGGUAACAUGUCGCUGGCUUUUGGAUGUCCAGCAGCACAUGCGCUUUCAGAGACACCUGUGGCAAGUGCAAAACAGAGAGGGGUGAGGAUGGAGGAUGCUAUAACAUUCACAGCAUAAUUGGUUCAAGAUUUCUUUUUUGUGAAAGGUGUAGUAGUGCACUUAAUUUCAGCCACAGGAUUGUAUAUCUUCACAUUCAUAGAUAUCAUGACUUGACAUUGGUAAUUUUUGUGUGCAUCAAGUCACUUAAUUUCAUGGACAUGUUUAUUUAGCUAGGAGUAACAGUUUAUGAAAUUUUAUAAAAGCUGCUAUAAGAGUAUGAAGAUUUGUUUAAAGUUCUUAGCUUUGUUAAUCACCAUCAUCCAGUUCAGUCAGUCUUUGUUAUAAAUAACAAAUUCAUGCAAUUAAUCUGCCAUUUACUUGGUGUCAGUUCAAAGCCUGCAUAUCAGUCCCUUACUUGUUGAGCCAUCUCUCACAGCACACACACACAUCCAUCUCACUGUGUUCUCUUCAGUCUGUUCCAAGCCUUUCACUUUGUGUUUAAUGGUCCAAAUUGCACAAGCAUGAAGCAAUAUACCACUGAUGGAAGUUCACAGUCAUAACUGCAAGGUCUACAACUGUUGUAGACCUUGUUCCUUUAUGUAAAUGUCUCAUUUAGGUAGAAGUGUUGUGUGUAAAUAGGUUUCAUAUACAUUUUUGAGACAUUUAGACUGAAUUGAAUAUUUACUUUGAUUAUGAAUCAAAUUGACUAUGACUAUUUAUAGACUAAUAGUUUUACUAUAUAAAUUAAAUUGACUAUAUAUAAGUAAGCUAGUAUUUGUCAAAGCUUUGUAUAUAUAGUCAUUAUGAAUUUGUAUAUAGCUAUUAUUUGUCAAAGCUUUGUAUAUAUAGUCAUUAUAAAUUUGUAUAGAGUAUAUAAGCUAUAUAGUAUAAGCUAAUUAGUCUAAGUUGAAAAUUGUCCUAAGACUUAAGACAAUGUAAUCAAAUAUGUUGGUUAAAUAUAGUGAGGGGUUAACUUAUUUUAGUUACAAUGAACCAUCUGCAAAGUCUCCGGAGACUCUUCCGAGUAUUUUUGACUUAAGGCAAUUUUUUUAGGCAAGAAAAUUAGGCAAGAAAAGGCAAUUUUUUAGGCAAGAAAAGGCAAUUUAGGCAAGAAAAGGCAAUUUAGGCAAGAAAAGGCAAGAAAAGGCAAUCUUUUUAGGCAAGAAAAGGCAAUCUUUUUAGGGUUUGAGAGCUCUAGCAGUAGUUUUUAUGGGGGGCAAAUGGAUGUUUAUUGGCAGCUUGGCACAUAGCUGCUACUAUUUGUGGCACUAAAGAAUAUUUGGUGCUAGAUUUUUUUUUUUUUUUUUUCAGCCAUUUUUUUUUACCAGCCAUUUCAUGUAAAUGUUGGUGCUGGAGCUAUUUUUAAUUAAUAUUCUUUUUACCAGCCAUUCCAUGUACUUCAGAAAAUAAAUUUAUAAUUCUG